CCUACGGGAGGCAGCAGUGAGGAAUAUUGGGCAAUGGGCGUAAGCCUGAACCAGCCAAGUCGCGUGAGGGAUGAAGGUUCUAUGGAUCGUAAACCUCUUUUAUAAGGGAAUAAAGUGUGGGACGUGUCCUGUUUUGUAUGUACCUUAUGAAUAAGGAUCGGCUAACUCCGUGCCAGCAGCAGCGGUAAUACGGAGUAUCCGAGCGUUAUCCGGAUUUAUUGGGUUUAAGGGGUGCGUAGGCGGCCUUUUAAGUCCGCGGUGAAAGUCUGUGGCUCAACCAUAGAAUUGCCGUUGAAACUGGGAGGCUUGAGUAUGUUUGAGGCAGGCGGAAUGCGUGGUGUAGCGGUGAAAUGCUUAGAUAUCACGCAGAACCCCGAUUGCGAAGGCAGCCUGCCAAGCCAUGACUGACGCUGAUGCACGAAAGCGUGGGGAUCAAACAGGAUUAGAUACCCUAGUAGUC
rnacentral:rRNA from 1 species